UACGUAGGUGGCUAGCGUUGUCCGGAUUUACUGGGCGUAAAGGGCGCGUAGGCGGCGCAACAAGUCACUUGUGAAAUCUCCGGGCUUAACUCGGAACGGUCAAGUGAUACUGUCGGACUAGAGUACAGAAGGGGCAACUGGAAUUCUCGGUGUAGCGGUGAAAUGCGUAGAUAUCGAGAGGAACACCUGCGGCGAAGGCGGGUUGCUGGGCUGAUACUGACGCUGAGGCGCGAAAGCCAGGGGAGCGAACGGG
rnacentral:rRNA from 1 species